rnacentral:misc_RNA from 1 species
AGAUGAAGAACGUAGCGAAAUGCGAUAAGUAAUGUGAAUUGCAGAAUUCCGUGAAUCAUCGAAUCUUUGAACGCACAUUGCGCCCUCUGGUAAGCCGGGGGGCAUGCCUGUCCGAGCGUCAUUUGCAACCCUCAAGCCCGGCUUGUGUGAUGGGUGCCGUCCCCUACGGGACGCGCCCCGAAGGCAAUGGCGGCGUCGCGGUUAUCCGAUCAGCCAAAGUGUAUGGGGCUUUGUCACUCACUUUACGGCCCGGACCGGCGCCAGUCCGAAUCAAUCUUUUUUCUAAAGUUGACCUCGGAUCAGGUAGGGAUACCCGCUGAACUUAAGCAUAUCAAUAAGCGGAGGA